AAUGCCUGUCCAGUCCGUGUGCUAAUGGAGGCACGUGUACGCCACUCGUUGCCAGCUUUGAGUGCAGCUGUCCUCCUGCAUGGGCGGGUGCAACCUGUUCCAUUCUCACACCAGACUAUGAUGAAUGUAUGUCCAACCCAUGCCUGAACAACGCUACAUGCAUCGAUCAAGUGGGUGCAUUCCAAUGUCGCUGUAGAGCGGGUUUCACCGGUGAUAGGUGCCAGUCAUUGCUGGACUGCCCUGCUUUCCAGCGUCGCGACAGCGGCGGAAUCUUCUGCGAGCCGUGCGCGUGUGAUCAACUAGGCUCGGAGUCGUGUGACAUGACAAACGGCACGUGCUACUGCAAGCCGAGCAUUACC